UUCCACACCAAAAGUUAGGAAGAUGGUGAUCUGACUCAUCUGCGGUGGUGUCAUUGGAAGGCAGAAAGAGGUGGAGCGAGAGAAGAAUAUCACACUUCUUGAGAUGCGCCAAAACCCGAGAACACCAAAGCUUGGAGUUUCAAAGGAAGAGCAAGAAAGAAAGAAAGAGUGAGAGAGUAAGUGUGUGUGUGUGUGAGAGAGAGAGAGAGAGAGAGAGAGAACGGGAAACCCUAAGUCUCUCGCUUAUAAAGUCUUGAGCGGCCCUCGGAGAGCAAGCAUAAGCCGUAUUGGUACAGAAGAAGGUUGAUCAAAGUUGGUGCCUGCCUGUCUUUGAAGAGCCGUCGGGAUGCCGAAGCGCAGCGCCUGCACCUCCUCCGCCGUCCUCUCCAUGGGUUGCUGGCUUCUGGUAACCUUCUGCCUAAACCUACCCAGUUCGUUGUUGGCUCACAGUAUCUAUACCAGAGGACUAGUAGCUAACGUAAGCAAUUGGUGGGAAAGUUCUGAAGACUUGAUGGAAGCAGCAGGUGUGGCACUGCAGCAGUUCAACAAGAAAGGAUUUCAAUGUAUUUUGCACAAUAUUCCCACUGAAAAUCCUAAGAAUGAAGAGAAGAUCGGGAAAGCAUGUAUGGCAGGAAAAUCAAUGCCUGGCUCCUGUUCUUCAGAAGAAAACAACACUGUUGAUGAGGCUGCCUGUAUAAAUACCAUCUAUAACAUUUUGAAUGCCUAUGCAGCGGAAAUCAAUGACCCAGAUCUUUCGAAUGCUAUCUAUCAUAUGAUGAAGACUUUGAAACCUGAAAAACCCAAGAUCUCAGAGCAACGGCUCUCCUCACCACAGGACAUAUUAAAUGAAAGUUUUGAAAUGGACAUGAAGCAAUGCAAGCUUUUGCUAGCUUUCCAACAGCUUGCUGAGACCAUCCACAGAUGCUUUAGCUACCAGAUGUCACUUGAAAUGUAAAUCUGAAGCUGAAAGAAAUAUUACUUGACAUUCCUUAUGCUGACUACUGUUUUUAGAAAUAAGCUUUCAAGUGCAGGAAUACUCCUGCUUUGGGAUAUUGCUAAUCCUGAACAUGGAUUUUAGCUAAAUAUUUAUUUAUUGAUAUGUAAG
rnacentral:lncRNA from 1 species